rnacentral:rRNA from 2 species
UUGCAUAUCCAAUUAUAUUUAUUAUAAUUGAGUAAUUUUUAUAAUAUUUAAAAAUUCGUUUACA